UACGUAGGGACCGAGCGUUGUCCGGAUUCAUUGGGCGUAAAGAGCUCGUAGGCGGCCACUCAAGUCGAAUGUGAAACCUCGAGGCUUAACCUCGAGCCUGCAUUCGAUACUGGGCGGCUAGAGUCUGGUAGGGGGAUCUGGAAUUCCUGGUGUAGCGGUGGAAUGCGCAGAUAUCAGGAGGAACACCGGUGGCGAAGGCGGGUCUCUGGGCCGACAUUGACGCUGAGGAGCGAAAGCGUGGGGAGCGAACAGG
rnacentral:rRNA from 1 species